rnacentral:rRNA from 3 species
GGUUAAGCGACUAAGCGUACACGGUGGAUGCCCUGGCAGUCAGAGGCGAUGAAGGGCGUGCUAAUCUGCGAUAAGCGCCGGUAAGGUGAUAUGAACCGUUAUAACCGGCGAUACCCGAAUGGGGAAACCCAGUGUGAUUCGUCACACUAUCAUUAACUGAAUCCAUAGGUUAAUGAGGCGAACCGGGGGAACUGAAACAUCUAAGUACCCCGAGGAAAAGAAAUCAACCGAGAUUCCCCCAGUAGCGGCGAGCGAACGGGGAGGAGCCCAGAGCCUGAAUCAGCAUGUGUGUUAGUGGAAGCGUCUGGAAAGGCGCGCGAUACAGGGUGACAGCCCCGUACACAAAAGCGCAUGUGCUGUGAGCUCGAUGAGUAGGGCGGGACACGUGGUAUCCUGUCUGAAUAUGGGGGGACCAUCCUCCAAGGCUAAAUACUCCUGACUGACCGAUAGUGAACCAGUACCGUGAGGGAAAGGCGAAAAGAACCCCGGCGAGGGGAGUGAAAAAGAACCUGAAACCGUGUACGUACAAGCAGUGGGAGCACCCUUUGGGUGUGACUGCGUACCUUUUGUAUAAUGGGUCAGCGACUUAUAUUCUGUAGCAAGGUUAACCGAAUAGGGGAGCCGGAGGGAAACCGAGUCUUAACCGGGCGUUAAGUUGCAGGGUAUAGACCCGAAACCCGGUGAUCUAGCCAUGGGCAGGUUGAAGGUUGGGUAACACUAACUGGAGGACCGAACCGACUAAUGUUGAAAAAUUAGCGGAUGACCUGUGGCUGGGGGUGAAAGGCCAAUCAAACCGGGAGAUAGCUGGUUCUCCCCGAAAGCUAUUUAGGUAGCGCCUCGUGAAUUCAUCUCCGGGGGUAGAGCACUGUUUCGGCUAGGGGGCCAUCCCGGCUUACCAACCCGAUGCAAACUGCGAAUACCGGAGAAUGUUAUCACGGGAGACACACGGCGGGUGCUAACGUCCGUCGUGAAGAGGGAAACAACCCAGACCGCCAGCUAAGGUCCCAAAGUCAUGGUUAAGUGGGAAACGAUGUGGGAAGGCCCAGACAGCCAGGAUGUUGGCUUAGAAGCAGCCAUCAUUUAAAGAAAGCGUAAUAGCUCACUGGUCGAGUCGGCCUGCGCGGAAGAUGUAACGGGGCUAAACCAUG